rnacentral:lncRNA from 1 species
CGCAGCUGCUCCUCCGGCCGCGGCGCCCGACAGGGGAAAGCACGGAGGGCGGUGCUGCCACCACGGCUUGGGCGCACCAGCGCGGGGCUCCCGGCAUCCGGCCGCAGCGCAGCGGCCCCCUGCGCGCCCGACCCAGGCCCCGGGGCUCCCCAGCGGCCGCUGCCUUCGGAGUCCGCCCGGCUGCGGUGACUGGUGGGGACCGGGAUGUCAGGGUUGAGCGAGGAAGCCAACGCGGCGCCGAGUCGAUCCUGACCGGGGGACACCCUGGAUUUCGGGAUAAAAGAUUUCUCCGAGCCUGGGGGAUUGCCUGCUCCCCACUCCGGCGCCCACCGCACUGGGCAGGAGGCAGUGAGCGCCGGAGGAGGCGCCUUCUCGCCGCCCUCAGGGGCGAGGAGAAAGGAAGCCGGAGAAGCCCCUGCGCGUUCUGGGAACCAGGCUUCUCCCCGCCUCUCUCGCCGCUGCCCCCACCCCGGGACCCAGCUUGCAGAACCCCUCUCCCCCGUGCGAGGUAUGGGGUGUGAUUGGGAACUUUGUGGAGCCCUCGCGCAGGCUGGCGGUAAAGACCGACCGGAGUGAGGCUGAGUCAUCCUUGCCCGGCCAAGCGCAACUCCGGUGACCCCAGCAAGGAGUGCGCUCCUAACGUCGCCGGGGCUCCCGGCGCACCAGACACCUGGGUUCAUAUUUGCAUGCCUUUCUGCAACCAGGGCUUUGCUUUCUGCCCCGUCACCCGCCCUUGGCCUCAGCAUCCUCAGGUUGCAGGGAAGUAAGGGCGGGCUCCAGCUUCCGCCAGGUGGUGUCCGGCUAGGAGCCAGGCCGGCUCUCCUUUCCAGUAGUCCCUGGAAAAAGUUACCCCUGCAGAUGUUGGGCUUGAUCUCAGAGUUGGCAGCGAGGGAGAAGGACUGCUACCGAGAGGCUCUUAGUGCUUUUCCCGAGUGCGGGCAGACCCGAGCUCCCCUGGGCUCUGGCAGGUCGCGCUCCCACCUUGGGGGGCAACGCAAGGAACAGGCCCCUCUCCAGGAGCGCCAGGUGCGCCCCGCCCGCGGGCAGUGUCUACAGCCUCUACGGAUGACUAACCGGUUAUAAUGAAUUCUCCGCUUCUGUGCAUACCCUCCGCCUGAGGAAGCGUGCCAGCCCUUUCCAAACCGAGCCAAGCGCGGCCUGACCCCCGAGGCAAGGGGUCCCAGGAGUUGACCCUCAAAUUGGGGGUUAGAAGAAAAUGUGUUUUCCUAUCAGAACGCGGGAUCGUUCUUCCUAAAUGAAAGCAUAGUGAAUGAACCAGUGAGUGAGUGCAUGCUAGCUCUUAGUAAGACCAUCCGUUUCCCACAUGGUAUCUAUAUGAUGACGCCCUUCAUGCCUUCACUCAUUCAUGUAGUCAAUAACUGUCAAUCAGCCUCUAUUGAUAGGUACAGUAGGACAUGCUGGGAAGCCAGUAGUGAACAAAGCAGGCUCUCUGCCCUCACCGAGUUUAUACACUACGAAGAGGACAGGCUUUACUGCAAAAACCAUAAUGGUAAAUGCACAAUUAUACACUUUGACAAGGGAAAAACAAUACUGUGUAUGAAGAAAAAGUACCUGUGACACCCAUACUAUUGUUGUGCCUAUUAACUGAUGAGAACAUCGAGGCACGGCAAAGUCAUACAGCUUAAGUCAUAUUUAAGCAACUGCUUGACUGCUGGACUAUACUGAAGACCACCUGGGCACCAAGGUCAUGAAGACAUUUCGUAAUAAAGUCACUAUGCGUUGCCAGCCUGACACAGGCUGUGGCUUACCCUAGACACAGAUCCUUUACAAAAGCACUUGAUUUGCCAAGAAAAAGAGAACCUGGGAAACUGUUUCUCUCAAGAGAAUCCUCAGUUACAUCCCUGUGGGAGGAUGCCGGUUGAAAGAGGAGGAGAAGGAGGGAUAAAGAAGACACUAUAAAAACGCCACAUCAAAUGCUGUUUU